rnacentral:rRNA from 1 species
GGUAACGGGUAACGGGGUGUUAGGGCACGACACCGGAGAGGGAGCCUGAGAAACGGCUACCACAUCCAAGGAUGGCAGCAGGCGCGCAAAUUACCCAAUCCCGACACGGGGAGGUAGUGACAAUAAAUAACAAUACGGGGUUCUUUAGGAUAAUUGGAAUGAGUACAAUUUAAAUCUCUUAACGAGGAACAAUUGGAGGGCAAGUCUGGUGCCAGCAGCCGCGGUAAUUCCAGCUCCAAUAGCGUAUAUUAAAGUUGUUGCAGUUAAAAAGCUCGUAGUUGAAUUUCGGGGUUAGUAGGUUGGUCAUGCCUCUGGUAUGUACUGGUCUCACUGAUUCCUCCUUCCUUAUGAACCGUAAUGCCAUUAAUUUGGUGUUGCGGGGAAUUUGGACUGUUACUUUGAAAAAAUUAGAGUGUUUAAAGCAAGCUAACGCUUGAAUACAUUAGCAUGGAAUAAUGAAAUAGGACGUUCGAUCUUAUUUUGUUGGUUUCUAGGAUUGACGUAAUGAUUAAUAGGGAUAGUUGGGGGCAUUAGUAUUCAAUUGUCAGAGGUGAAAUUCUUGGAUUUAUUGAAGACUAACUACUGCGAAAGCAUUUGCCAAGGAUGUUUUCAUUAAUCAAGAACGAAAGUUAGGGGA